GCCCAGACUCCUACGGGAGGCAGCAGUGGGGAAUAUUGCACAAUGGGGGAAACCCUGAUGCAGCGACGCCGCGUGAGCGAUGAAGUAUUUCGGUAUGUAAAGCUCUAUCAGCAGGGAAGAAAAUGACGGUACCUGACUAAGAAGCCCCGGCUAACUACGUGCCAGCAGCCGCGGUAAUACGUAGGGGGCAAGCGUUAUCCGGAUUUACUGGGUGUAAAGGGAGCGUAGACGGCAGUGCAAGUCCGGAGUGAAAGCCCGGGGCUCAACCCUGGGACUGCUCUGGAAACUGUAAAGCUGGAGUGCGGGAGGGGCAGGCGGAAUUCCUGGUGUAGCGGUGAAAUGCGUAGAUAUCAGGAGGAACACCGGCGGCGAAGGCGGCCUGCUGGACCGUAACUGACGUUGAGGCUCGAAAGCGUGGGGAGCAAACAGGAUUAGAUACCCGGGUAU
rnacentral:rRNA from 1 species